UUACCACAGGGAUAACUG
rnacentral:ncRNA from 2 species